GGGAGGGAAUUACUUUAGGUUUCAUGAUCUCGAAAAGCUGCUCUCCAAGGCAAUUUUAAGCUGUUACCUGAAUGACAAAAGGCAGCAGCCAGCCAAACACCGAGGGCAAGAAUUUUUCAAACACAGUAACCAGUUCAUGCAGAGCCUUGAGCAGGGAUCAGGCUUGGUGUGUUUGAGGAGAAGAAGGCAGGCCAGUGUUGGUAGGGUGGGGUGAAUGCCGUUGGGGAGAGUAGAAGAAAGUGAGGUCAGAGAGGUCGAGUCAUGAGCAUUGUAGCCCACACCAAGGGGUGUGGAUAUAUUUUUUAGAGGGCUGGGAAUCGUGGGAAGGCUUAAAAUGGGAGAAUGACAUUUUACAAAGAUCCCUCUGGCUGCUGCUGGGUUGAGCAUGGCCUGCCGUGAGGCAAGCCUUAAAAUAGGGACACCAGUGGGGGACAGUGACAAGUAAAACACGUGGCCAAUGAGGGUGAUUAUGAUGGAGGUUCUGGCACAAUGUGAUGCUUAGAUGCAGCUCCGAAUCUUGUUACUAACACGAGGCAUCAUAACACCAGCCAGCAUGUGGUGGUAGCUGUCUCAAACCAAACCUCCCGACCCAGGAUGGUGAUUUUGCCUUACCCCUUCAGCCCUCUUGCCUUUUCUCUCGGAGAUUUUCCUGUAAACUUGUCAUGUGAUCAGUGUGGGGGAAAAGGGGUGAGGUUAGAUUCCUUUUGCCUCUAGAACUUUCUCCCAUGGCUGCUAGGAAUAUUAAGAUAAGCUAAAAUUGUGUCGAAUCCAAAGGGAGAGAACAACAGUGUCUAAGUAAAGACCCACCAAGAAUUCUGGGCCGACAGUGGACUAUUUAUUAAAUAUCAGCUUUUGGACAAAGACAGUAGCUAUAUGUGAAUGAUAUUUGUUUUGAGAAUCUUGAAAAAAAACACAGAGAAUUCUUCUAAACGUUGAAAACAGCAAGGCCCCUUGUACCCCCGUUCCAUAAAUUCUGUUAUGAAUGAGGUUGUAUGUUUCACAUUUAAUAAACAGUCACUGGCUUGGAAGGAUUUCUUUUCUGGAUCUAAUGGACUGAAGGCCAAAGUUGUUUUUUUUUUUUUCCCCCCGUUCUAAUUUACACCACUAUUUAUAGACCUGCCAUUUUCCAUACUUAGCAUGCUUUCCAGAAUGCAGGAAAGAGGCCAAAUGAAGUUGCUACAGGUCUUAUGCCUCCUGGUUAUCCACACGAGGCAAACCGCCCUGACAGUGAGACUGAGUCCCUGAAACAAUGGUCUUUGAUCAGCCCAUGUCAGCUCCCUCCUCCAUUUGUCCAGACUAGAUCAAUUAUUGGGCAGCCUGCUUUAGGGUUGCCAGAUGAAAUUACAGGACAUGCAGUUAAAUUUGAAGAUAAGAUUUUAAAAGAUGAAUAAUUGUUUAGUACCAGUAUGUCCCAAGUUUUAUAGGGACAGAUAGUAGUUGUUUAUUUGAAAUUCAAACUUAACUGGACAUCCUGUGCUUUUAUUUGAGGAAGUGGCAAGCCCAGCCCUGGCUGGGGAUGGGUGUGAAGCAUUUUCAGCAGUAGGGGCCACUUAAUGCCACACAUUGGCUGCCUCGUUGGGCCUGUCCAUCUCUGGUCACCUACUGCCCUCAACCCAGCUGGAUUGCAAAUGGGUAUUGUCACUGGAGAGACCAGCUCUCUUUACCUACCUUCCGGUGUCUCAAUUAGACUCUCAGCCCUAUAUUUAGGACAUUCUCUCCUUUCCCUAUAGUAGGAACCCUAUAGUAGAAGCUAUUUUCCAUCCAUCCAUCCAUCCAUCCAUCCAAUAAGUAUUUAUAGAACACCUUUUAAGUACCAGAGACCAGGCAGAAAAUCCAUAAUCUCCCUGGGAACAUGUCAUGGGGACAAUUCAUGCUCUGUCUUGGAGCCAGCUUCUUGGAAGGCCUCCAGAGCAUAGGAAGCAGCUGUUGCAAUGAACAAAACAGCUCUGAUCCCAGCAUCUCUGGACUUGUCCAACUGAGCCUAUAUAUCUCAGAUGCCACGAGUUGCCCUGGAACUAGCCCUGACCUGUGAGACGUGGCACAACGAAGCUGAAAGCCAGACAGGACUGUCCUGUCCUAUCCGUUAGGGAAGGCUACUUGUAACAACAAACAGACUUCGACAUGUAACAUCACACUAGAAGUUUAUUUUCUGUUCAAGUAAUACUUCUGGGCAGGUACAGAGAUUUGUGGGGGAACCCACUCAGCACAGUCAUUCAUGGACUUGAACCGGUGGAGGCUCUGUUAUCUUCACCAGGUCACUGAUCAUUUCCAAGGUUGCCUGGGGGUCAUCAUCAGCCCACCCGGCCAUAAGAGGGUCAGGGCGUGGAGGCGUGCGUGGGAGAUUUGACCAAGCCUGGAAGGGGCCCACAUUGUUUCCUCUCAGAUCCCUUGGACAGCCACAUGGCCGCUCCUAAUUGCAAGGGAGGCCAUGCAACGUGUGCCCAGGAAGAAGAAACCAACACUGACUCAGCUAACUUCUCUGAGCCUCAGUUCCCUCAUCUGCGAAAUACUCCACCGAUUGCCAGUUGGUAAAGUGACUGCUGGGACCCACCAUCGGCAGGUCUGACGACGUUCCCCAACUCCCCGAUUUGCCAGCAUCGGACUUGCCACCCCCAGUCUGGAGAUAAAGGAGGUCCUAUCCCUCUUCCAUUUGCCCAACUGCCUGCUUCUUGGUUCUCACCCUUCUCAGACCAGCUGCCUAGAGCCAAGCCCCUUUAUCUCACAGGUUGUGUUCCAGGAGUUCACUUACUGGAACUUUGCAACUUGGAGUGCACUCUUCCAUAAAAGCAGCUGUACGGGGAUCACGGCCAGGGCCCGGCCUCCAUCUUCUGGCCCGAGGCAACUCUAAGGGGUGGGCUGGAGAGAGUCGCUGGCACCCGGGCCGUUCCCACGGUAGCAUCUGAGAAGGCUCUGCAGCAGGGAGCACGGGUGGAGUUCGGGGCCCCAGAGGCUUUGUGAGUGGCUGGUUCCCAUGGCAACCAUGGGGUGGCCUCCACAGCUGCCGGGAACUGAGUAGCCCUGGUUAGAAGCUAACAGUAGGCUUGUAAGCCUGGAGCUGCCUGUGGCUGCAACCCAGAGCAAGGUGCCCUUCCAGCUGGGGUCGUUCAUUACCACACGCCCUCUGCAGCCCCCCUGCGUCCAUGUCAUUGAAACAAAUACCUAUUGAUCAUCUGCUUGCCAAACACCGUGGUGGAUCCUGAGAACCCAGGAAUAAGACACAGCCCUGGUGUGCCAGCCUCGAGGGGUGAGAUAAACACGCAUCCACAACAGAGAAGGACAGUGCCAUGUGACCCAGGCAGGGGACAGGUAGUCGGGAGGCUCUGGGAGGAGAGCUUUGGUCUAACCCAUGGCCACGGCAUGUGCAGAAGCAUGGAGGGAAGCUGCAAGGACACUUUGACGAGGUCAUGUGGGGUGUGUGCGUGUGUGUGUGCGCGCGCAGGGGGAUGGCAUGGGAGCUGUUGGCAGGCAUCGGAUCUGGAGCACCCUAAGGAACUUGGGUCAUGUGGGCCCAGAAGCCUUCUUAGAGAUGAGCAUUCGAGGAGGGUGAGUCCAGGGGAUCCAUGAAUAUUUUCAAAAAUUUUAUCUAGUUUUAGAUUCCUUGAAUUCACAUAAAGGGAAGAAAACCUUAGGGAUGUUUCUCUAAUGUUUGGCAAAUCUUACCCACUGACAAAACCCACGUCCACUAUCCAAAUGAUCAUGACGGUGCUCUGGACUGGAGACUCAAGUUGUAACCCUCCGCAAAGUUGGAAGACUUGUCAUUGCAGGGUCUGUCCUGCAGGGGGCUUCUCUGUACAUAGUGGAUAUUCUUUCUCUUGGCUCUUCACCCCCUGGCAUCUGCACUCCAACCUGAGGCCCACCUUAAGGUCCAGAUGUCCACCCUCCCUCGAUGACCAACUGUCCCGGUUUUAGUACCAAAAGUCCCACGUCCCACGAAACGUCUCAGUCCCAGCGUUAACCUUCAGGCCAGAGAGGAAAGUCUGAGCCCGGACCUCAGGUUUAUAGGAUGUUGACCGGCAGGUGAGGAACAGAGAGGGAGUUGGCUUUGGAGCCAGGCCUGCCCAACGGAAGCUUGAUUUCUCUGCCCAAUCUUUUUCUGUGUGAUGUUGGAGAAGUUACUUCACCUUUCUGAACACUAGCUUCUCAUCUGUUAUAGGUGAAAAAAGAAUAUAUAUCUUUUUUUUUUUAAUUUUUUUUAACGUUUUUAUUUAUUUUUGAGACAGAGAGAGACAGAGCAUGAAGGGGGGAGGGGCAGAGACAGAAGGAGACACAGAAUCGGAAGCAGGCUCCAGGCUCUGAGCCGUCAGCCCAGAGCCCGACGUGGGGCUCGAACUCAUGGACUGUGAGAUCGUGACCUGAGCUGAAGUCGGAUGCUUAACCGACUGAGCCACCCAGGCGCCCCAAGAAUACGUAUCUUAAGGGAAUGGAAAUAAUGUACGUUAAACACUAUCACGUAGGAAGUGCUCAGUAAAUGGUGUUAUUUUCUAGGGGAAGGCAUAUCAACAGUCACCAUAUAAUGUGAAAAAGCGUAUUGAGCUUUUAUACUGAAGGUUGAGGAUACAAAGGAGUAGAACUGCCUCUGGGGGUCAGAGAAGUCCUUCAAUUGCUACCACCUGACAAAACUCCCAGAUGUGACUCUCCUGCCUCUCACACACCCACUGUGGACUGUGAUUAAAAAUUCGAGAAAAAGGAAAUGCAAAAUAGUGAGAACGUACUGAAUAGCAAACAAAAUUUGAGGAGUGAGCCAAUAGACACCGAGUACAAGCAGUCUCCUAACUCCAGUUCAGUUCAUGUAGGGGAGGAACCUGUAAGUGGGAGAGUGUAAAACCUGCACGUGCUCUGGAGCAGAGAACUGGGCAGGCCUAGUGGGAGAGCACAGGUAUUCUAGAAUUCUCAGGAAGUUCUGGAAUAUUCCAGUAUAUUCUGGAGUGCACUUCCCGUGGGUGAAGCCAGAGGGCAGGGUGAAGUUCACACAAUUAUGUUUGUGAGGAGUGGGUUUGUUGACUUGUCUGCUUGUGGGGUGACCCGAGGAAGAUCACAGCAGCCUUGUAGUAACAUCUGGAGAGUUCUGCCCCUUUAAAGAGACCGGGGCUCUAGGUAGUGAUGAAAACUUCCUCUGAGAGUGUAGCCAGGUCUCAACUGUACCACGAUUUCUUUCCCGGAAAGCCUGAAUAAUAUUAAAUGUGGAAAAUGGAUCCCCCCCCCCACCCCCUCCAUACUUGGAUGUCUCCUCUUCAAGUUCAUCUUCUGGGCUGAAGCUGUUGCGAAGAUACUAUUCUUUCUUGUUCAGGAAUUGUAGCUCCAUGACACCCGAGAAUGUCGUUGACAAUCACAUGUAGCAAGAUGAGUGAUGAGCACGUCUCCAGCCUCUCAAGAAUCCAACCUUCCAAGAAUGCUUCAUUUCUUAGGACCAAUGGUUCCAGUAAUGGUGAUGGGGAAGAAGGCUCUGGAAGGAACAGCUGGAUCUCGUGCCUUUGCCUCAGAUGCCAUCCAAAAUGGUAAGGCCAUCUGUGGCUCAGAGGAGGAGACUAAUGUACCCAAGAUCGCAUAUCUAUAAAAGGCAGGGCCAGGAUCUGGCUCCUGGCUCCUUGCCUCUAAAGGCUUGGCACAGAGGAAAGACGAACACAAGAAGAAAAUCCCAGCAUCUUUGAAAGCCUCCCGAGGAGAACCCACCCAGGGAUGGCCAAGCAGGAGCUCGGAACAGGAGGGUGUCCCUGCAGGGUUAAGGCCCUGAAAGGGUUAACAGUCUCCCCAGAAGCCUGGAUUCCAAGGAGAGUUGGAGCACUGGGCCUUUCUGCUGGCCCUCUGGGCACACCAGCCAGCACCUCUGUUCUGGUGCCUGCCCCUCGGGGCUGAGACCCUGAGCCUCCCCCCUCCUCCCUUCCCCCUUCCCCCAUGCGGGGUGCUCCGUUCCGGACACAGUUAGCCAGAACCCUCGGGACAAAGAAGCUUCCUUUGAGAAACACAUGCUUGGAGGGGGACUAGGUCUGUGUCUACACAACAACACUUCCCAGUGUUCUGAAAAGGAAAACAAAAUAAACAAAUGUGUGAGGUAGCGAUGAAGACAUUCAAAAUAUUUCCCUCUAGAGCCGGAGAAAUCUGACGGUGAAAAAAGAGAACUGAUUUUGCUGCCCCCCCUCCCCCACCUUACACCCGCUUCAAUUUAGGCUCCUUAUUGCUUUCUGGAUCUUUCAGGGUUAUAACCGCUAUCUCAAUGACUAAUAGAAAACUCCAUUAGGCCCUUUCUUUAUGAAGGGAAUUAAUGACUUCGAAAAUUUAGUGCUUUGUAAACAUAGUAGGGAAAGCAUUUCCCCAGGCUCGCGGAUUCCUUGGCAGGGAGGGAAGCUGGUUAGGAAAGUAAAUGUUUCCAGCUUGCUGAGAGGCCCCCCUUCACCAAGCACUGUCUGCUUCUUGUAAAGCCCGGCCCCACAACACUGGGAUGUUUCAGAGUCCUAAAAAAAGGAGUCAAAGUAAAACCCAAAGAAGCAGGAGGCAGAGAGAAUGAGACGCAUCUGCGGAGUCGAAAAAAGACCAACUGGUGGAAUUUUCUAAUAUAAAUGAACUUUUUCGGUAAAAAUGUGCGUCCUUGGUACAUCCACCUUUUGACCCGAAUUAGAGAAAUUGGUUGUUUACCCAGCCCAAACCCACAGGGUAAUUACCCUCUCUGUUCUCUUAAAUUUUUAGGCCUGGCCAAUGACAUAACACCUUCAGAAAUGAAAAACCUCUCACAAAAAAUAAAAAUAAUAAGAAAAAAAUAAAAAGCCUCUCAGGACAGACAUUCAGAAGCGAGCCCGGGAAAGAAGGGACUGUGGGAUCAGGACCGUGGGGUUUCAUUGCUGGCAUUCACAUGGCAAGUUGCUAACACCUGAGGGAGGGGAGGUGAUGGGGGAGAGAAGGAAAAAAGCUUUCCUUGUCCACCAAGGCUUUCUCCUUCAAAGCUGCCUUUUCCAGAGACCAGCCUUUUCUGGCCCAGUCCCUUCCUCCUCAAGAAAACCGCAGCAACACCAGUUCAGCAAAUGCUCACAUCACUGAAAGUCAGUCAGUCCCACUCGAGGACCCGGGUAAUUUAGGAACUACCCAGGCCCGACCCAGGGGAUUCAUUCAUUCCUCCCCUGCAUCUUGGUUAGGUUGUGCUAACUCAUUCGUUCAUUUACCAAACAGUGUUGAGCACCUAUUGUGUCCAGUUUGGGGUCAAACCUUUGAGAUUCAGGAAAGGAGGCCUUCAAAAAGGCUAUCAGUCCUUGUAACAGCAACACCAGCAGCCAAAACGUGUAUUGCUUUGGGAGUAUCUGAGUUUUUGAGACAAACCGCUGUGACUUUCUCUUCGUUUCUUAAUCCGUUUCAAAGGGACCAGCCGGGUUGGUGAAAUGAUAUUGCUGGUUUGUAGUACUUAGGUCUUCUGAGAGAGAGAGAGAAGAAAAAAAAAAAAGUUUAAAUGUGUAAACCAAAGUGAAUUUUUUUAAACAAUGAAUCUGUUGCUUCAGCCACCCGAGACGUUAGAAUAUACUUUCCGAAAUUAGAAAAUCAGAAAAGUGAGGUUGGGUAUGACAUACAAAAGAGAAAAGUCUAGAAGACGCGACUUGGAGGUGUCCAAGUAACAGGGUAAGCAAAUUAAGGGUGAUAGGAAGUGGAAAGUUAUCGGAACAUGUCACCAGUCAGGCAGUCUGGCAGAGAACUUUAAAAGUCUCCUUUCCUGCCUAGGAUCACAGGUAACAAACAUUCACGCACACUUCGGCCUGGUGCUGUGCCACAGAAAGAAUGUAUCUGAUGUCUGUUUUAUUUUAUUUGCCAUUUGCUCUGUUCCACAAAGGAUUUAAGGCAGUUUACAAAAGAGACACAAGCCAUAAGCUUCAUACACACUAAAAACAAGAGCAGGAGAAAAAAAACAAAGAAUGGAGACGUAACAAGGAGCCAGGAGUGAGGUGAGGAAAAAUACAAAGUUUACCGAGCUGGGUGACAGACUUCCUUCCAAAGGGCCACAAGCCGGGCACCAGGAGUAAACAGAAAAGGGAAACGGAUGAAUGUUGAGAUAAAAGCAGGUCAACUGCUUGGAAAUCACUAUUUUUGGAACCAAGGAAAGAGGGGCAUUUCUCCUAAGCGCCUUUCCUCACCCUCUGGUUAGUUACUAAGCCACAACCUUAAUGGCAUCCUGUGUCUGACCCACCCCUCCAGCAGUUCAGAAUUUAGACCUGUGGCUCUUGCUUGAGAUUUCCGUUCACUUUUUCUUGGUGCAUCGUGUGCUCCUUGAACACCCCACACCUGGGAACAUGUUUAUUCAGUGUGGACCUACUUUGGUCCGGACGAUGGAACCUUCCAGAAUCUGUCCUACACAUUAGGUCAACAGUGUAGAAAAUAUCACCAGUGGCCCAAUUUUUCAGCGCCCACAUUGUAACGAAGGUGCUGACAAUGUGCGUACUAAUGAGAAAAAUUAGUACGAAGCAAGGCUACUCGACAGGUCUGGAGGAUCUGGACACCAUACCCAGGCAAGCCCCCCAAUCUUCAGCCUGUUUGAGGAGGGGACAGGACUCGGCGGCAUAUAGACAAACAUGAGACCCAUCCCAGAGCUGAUCUACACGCCCUGGAGACCGAAAUGGGUGGUUUAAUGUUUCAAAAUGGUAACAACCCUUCAUUCUAUCCGUUAGCUGUUUUCCCGCUCUGGUCACAUUAAGCGUGUUUAAUUGAUGCUGUAUGGAAGGUCCCUCAUGUUAGAGGAUAAA